rnacentral:rRNA from 1 species
UACGUAGGAGGCAAGCGUUGUCCGGAAUCACUGGGCGUAAAGCGCGUGUAGGCGGAUCGCUAAGUCUGUGGUGAAAGCGCCUGGCUUAACCGGGCGAGGUCCAUGGAAACUAGCGGUCUGGAGGCCGGUAGAGGGGGGUGGAAUUCCGGGUGUAGUGGUGAAAUGCGUAGAGAUCCGGAGGAACACCAGUGGCGACGGCGGCCCCCUGGGCCGCGCCUGACGCUGAGACGCGAAAGCGCGGGGAGCGAACGGG